GAUGAACGCUGGCGGCGUGCCUAAUACAUGCAAGUCGAGCGAACGGACGCGAAGCUUGCUUCUCUGAUGUUAGCGGCGGACGGGUGAGUAACACGUGGAUAACCUACCUAUAAGACUGGGAUAACUUCGGGAAACCGGCGCUAAUACCGGAUGAUCUUUUGAACCGCAUGGUUCAAAAGUGAAAGACGGUCUUGCUGUCACUUAUAGAUGGAUCCGCGCUGCAUUAGCUAGUUGGUAAGGUAACGGCUUACCAAGGCGACGAUGCAUAGCCGACCUGAGAGGGUGAUCGGCCACACUGGAACUGAGACACGGUCCAGACUACUACGGGAGGCAGCAGUAGGGAAUCUUCCGCAAUGGGCGAAAGCCUGACGGAGCAACGCCGCGUGAGUGAUGAAGGUCUUCGGAUCGUAAAGCUCUGUUAUUAGGGAAGAACAUAUGUGUAAGGAACUGUGCACAGCUUGACGGUACCUAAUCAGAAAGCCACGGCUAACUACGUG
rnacentral:rRNA from 1 species